GGGAUUAGUUUUUUUUCUUUUUCUUUUUUUCAUUUUUUCCUUCAAGUUUUUCAUUGCAUUUCUUUUGAAAAAUAAACAUGCUAUGAUGCACAUGAUGCAGACACGACUGGCAAGUUGUGCAUCUCUGAACAUAGGAUCGAAGCUUCGGCUCGAACUCUGAACAACAAUUCAUCUGAAACCCAAAGUCAACUGGUCAACCGUCAUCUGAACCCAAUCUGAGAAUACUGAGUCACCAACAGAACUCUG
rnacentral:lncRNA from 1 species